rnacentral:rRNA from 1 species
GUCUACAGCCAUGCUACCCUGAACAAGCCCAAUCCUGUUUGAUCUUGGAAGCUAAGCUAGGUUGGGCCUGGUUAGUACUUGGCUGGGAGACCACCUAGGAAGACCAGGUGCUGUAUUAU